GAAAAUUAAGCGUGCGGUCCAUCCAAUAUAACAACUUGAGAUUAAUGAGGAAGGCGUUCAAAGAUUGGAACAAAAUGAUGUGGAUGAAGACCAAAAUGACUUUUUGAAUCAUAAGGGAGAGGAACCACACCUCCUCUAUCAAAUUCAAAAUCUCUAUCUCUUCCUUGUUGCCUAUGCUAACCAAACUCAAAAUGACAACAGGAAUCACAAGAAAGACGCAGAAGGCUAUAAUGUUUGAGAAGUUUCAUUCUGAAAAUCCAUUGCUUCUCAGUCUGUGCAGAACUCUCUUCCCUAACAGCCAUAAGUCUGUCUGGUGUGGACCUCACUCACUGGUUCAGCGUGAAGUUUAUGCUCGUACAAGUUCUAUUCUUGCUGCUAUUGAAACUUUGAUGACGUAGGUACUUUUUGAUUACUUCACAUUGUCACUACAAAGGAUCUGAAGCAAUCUUAUGCUUUGCCUAGAUCAAAAUAGUGUUACAGUGUGGAAUGUUUGUCAUAAAUACCUGCAUACAAAUGGAAUGUCCGGCAGUUAGUGGUUCUUCUCAGCUGAGGAUGAUAAUUUGCUCUGGUAUAGCUAGUGUGGGAAUGAUAUACCUCAAGAUCGAUAACAUGAUCUUGAUUUACAAUCCUGUGUCAGCAUUUGUAGUGAUCUAUUGGGGAUGAGGGAAAAUAGAUACAUUGGUAUUUCUUAUUGCGAAAAUGAUUUAAUAUUGAGCAAAGAUUCUUGCAGAGUGCUAUUGCUGGAAACAAUAACUUGUGCAACUGUAAAUAAUUGAUCCUUCUUAUUUUCACACCUCUAUUUAAGGUGGAAGCCUAAGAAAUUCUGUUCAGGGAA